rnacentral:rRNA from 1 species
AUACGGAGGGUGCAAGCGUUAAUCGGAAUUACUGGGCGUAAAGCGCGCGUAGGCGGAUAUUUAAGUCUCAUGUGAAAGCCCUGGGCUCAACCUGGGAACUGCAUGGGAUACUGGGUAUCUAGAAUACAGUAGAGGGUAGUGGAAUUUCAGGUGUAGCGGUGAAAUGCGUAGAGAUCUGAAGGAACAUCAGUGGCGAAGGCGACUAUCUGGACUGAUAUUGACGCUGAGGUGCGAAAGCGUGGGGAGCAAACGGGAUUAGAAACCCUAGUAGUCC